rnacentral:rRNA from 1 species
UGGGGAAUAUUGCGCAAUGGGCGAAAGCCUGACGCAGCCACGCCGCGUGAGUGAUGAAGGCCUUCGGGUUGUAAAGCUCUGUCUGAGGGGACGAAUACUGACGGUACCCUCAAAGAAAGCACCGGCUAACUCCGUGCCAGCAGCCGCGGUAAUACGGAGGGUGCGAGCGUUGCUCGGAAUCAUUGGGCGUAAAGCGUACGCAGGCGGCUUUAUAAGUCGGGUGUGAAAGCCCAGGGCUCAACCCUGGAAAUGCGCCCGAGACUGUAGGGCUUGAAUGCGGGAGAGGGAAGCGGAAUUCCUGGUGUAGAGGUGAAAUUCGUAGAUAUCAGGAGGAACACCGGUGGCGAAAGCGGCUUCCUGGCCCGACAUUGACGCUCAUGUACGAAAGCGUGGGGAGCAAACAGG